CAGGUAUUGACAGGUGAGAACACUAUGGACAGCAUCUGUGGCACCCCAUGACACUAUUACUCUGGGGAACCAUGCUCCAGAGCUGCAGACUGGAGGGGGCUUGGAAUAAUUCUCGACUAGCUCGUGGUUGGAGCAGACCCCUUCUCUGGAGACGACACUGAGAUCAUGGGAGAGAGUGGGCAGGUCCGAUGCCCCAAAUCCUUCUCAGCAGAGGCAACCUCCAUAAUGACCGGGUGAGAGGAGAGGGAAAGCUCGUGUCUGGUGAGUGACUCUGAAAGAGAGAGGUGCCAUACUACCUGAGGCAUCAUCAGAGCUCAGAACCCAGUGACAAUCCCUAGUGUGAGUAUCCUGAGCCUUCUGUUCUAAGCAAUGUAUCAAGGGUGGAAGAAAGGCACUUGAGAAGAAUGCCAAUACAACAGUCUGUCCCUGGAAAAGAUAUUUCUUUUUCAACCUCCCCUGAGUCUAUUCUAUCUUUGGCACAGAAGCACUGUCAGUAUAACCUCUCCCCAUCACGCUCUUUCUUCCAAAAAA